AUUGAACGCUGGCGGCAUGCCUUACACAUGCAAGUCGAACGGCAGCACGGGUGCUUGCACCUGGUGGCGAGUGGCGAACGGGUGAGUAAUACAUCGGAACGUACCUUAUCGUGGGGGAUAACGCAGCGAAAGCUGUGCUAAUACCGCAUACGCCCUGAGGGGGAAAGCGGGGGAUCGCAAGACCUCGCGCGAUUAGAGCGGCCGAUGCCUGAUUAGCUUGUUGGUGGGGUAAAAGCCCACCGAGGCGACGAUCAGUAGCUGGGCUGAGAGGACGAUCAGCCACACUGGGACUGAGACACGGCCCAGACUCCUACGGGAGGCAGCAGUGGGGAAUUUUGGACAAUGGGGGCAACCCUGAUCCAGCAAUGCCGCGUGAGUGAAGAAGGCCUUCGGGUUGUAAAGCUCUUUUGUCAGGGAAGAAACACCGGCUCUAACACAGUCUGGGAAUGACGGUACCUGAAGAAUAAGCACCGGCUAACUACGUGCCAGCAGCCGCCGCCG
rnacentral:rRNA from 1 species